GAUGAAGAACGUAGCGAAAUGCGAUAAGUAAUGUGAAUUGCAGAAUUCAGUGAAUCAUCGAAUCUUUGAACGCACAUUGCGCCCGCCAGUAUUCUGGCGGGCAUGCCUGUCUGAGCGUCAUUUCAACCCUCAUGCCCCUAGGGCGUGGUGUUGGGGAUCGGCCAAAGCCCGCGAGGGACGGCCGGCCCCUAAAUCUAGUGGCGGACCCGUCGUGGCCUCCUCUGCGAAGUAGUGAUAUUCCGCAUCGGAGAGCGAUGAGCCCCUGCCGUUAAACCCCCAACUUUCCAAGGUUGACCUUAGAUCAGGUAGGAAUACCCGCUGAACUUAAGCAUAUCAAUAAGCGGAGGA
rnacentral:misc_RNA from 1 species